rnacentral:rRNA from 1 species
CCUUAGAGUUUGAUCCUGGCUCAGGAUGAACGCUAGCUACAGGCUUAACACAUGCAAGUCGAGGGGCAGCGGGAUUGAAGCUUGCUUCAAUUGCCGGCGACCGGCGCACGGGUGAGUAACGCGUAUCCAACCUUCCGUACACUCAGGGAUAGCCUUUCGAAAGAAAGAUUAAUACCUGAUGGUAUGAUGAGAUUGCAUGAUAGCAUCAUUAAAGAUUUAUCGGUGUACGAUGGGGAUGCGUUCCAUUAGGUAGUAGGCGGGGUAACGGCCCACCUAGCCAACGAUGGAUAGGGGUUCUGAGAGGAAGGUCCCCCACAUUGGAACUGAGACACGGUCCAAACUCCUACGGGAGGCAGCAGUGAGGAAUAUUGGUCAAUGGACGAGAGUCUGAACCAGCCAAGUAGCGUGAAGGAUGAAGGUCCUACGGAUUGUAAACUUCUUUUAUAAGGGAAUAAACCCUCCCACGUGUGGGAGCUUGUAUGUACCUUAUGAAUAAGCAUCGGCUAACUCCGUGCCAGCAGCCGCGGUAAUACGGAGGAUGCGAGCGUUAUCCGGAUUUAUUGGGUUUAAAGGGAGCGCAGACGGGUCGUUAAGUCAGCUGUGAAAGUUUGGGGCUCAACCUUAAAAUUGCAGUUGAUACUGGCGUCCUUGAGUGCGGUUGAGGUGUGCGGAAUUCGUGGUGUGGCGGUGAAAUGCUUAGAUAUCACGAAGAACUCCGAUUGCGAAGGCAGCACACUAAUCCGUAACUGACGUUCAUGCUCGAAAGUGUGGGUAUCAAACAGGAUUAGAUACCCUGGUAGUCCACACGGUAAACGAUGGAUACUCGCUGUUGGCGAUAUACUGUCAGCGGCUUAGCGAAAGCGUUAAGUAUCCCACCUGGGGAGUACGCCGGCAACGG